rnacentral:rRNA from 1 species
AACGAACGCUGGCGGCAUGCCUAACACAUGCAAGUCGAACGAGACCUUCGGGUCUAGUGGCGCACGGGUGCGUAACGCGUGGGAACCUGCCCUUAGGUUCGGAAUAACUCCCCGAAAGGGGUGCUAAUACCGGAUAAUGUCUUCGGCCCAAAGAUUUAUCGCCUUUGGAUGGGCCCGCGUUGGAUUAGCUAGUUGGUAGGGUAAAAGCCUACCAAGGCGACGAUCCAUAGCUGGUCUGAGAGGAUGGUCAGCCACACUGGGACUGAGACACGGCCCAGACUCCUACGGGAGGCAGCAGUGGGGAAUAUUGGACAAUGGGCGAAAGCCUGAUCCAGCAAUGCCGCGUGAGUGAUGAAGGCCUUAGGGUUGUAAAGCUCUUUUACCCGGGAUGAUAAUGACAGUACCGGGAGAAUAAGCUCCGGCUAACUCCGUG